rnacentral:rRNA from 1 species
UACGUAGGGGGCGAGCGUUGUCCGGAUUUAUUGGGCGUAAAGAGCGUGUAGGCGGCCAGGCAGGUCUGCUGUGAAAACUCGAGGCUCAACCUCGAGACGUCGGCGGAAACCAUCUGGCUAGAGUCCGGAAGAGGAGAGUGGAAUUCCUGGUGUAGCGGUGAAAUGCGCAGAUAUCAGGAGGAACACCGAUGGCGAAGGCAGGUCUCUGGGCCACUACUGACGCUGAGAAGCGAAAGCAUGGGGAGCGAACAGG